CUGUCCAAGAAAACACGAGUGAAAAGAACACGCAGAGAGAAGAGAGAGGAAGAUCAAAGAAAAGUUCUUUUUCUCUGUACCAAACAUUUCGUGCUCGUGGCAAAGCAUUUUGUGCGUCACGUUUUCGAUGCGAGAUACUCUCAAAGCAAGAGAAACGAAAGCUGCUGCUCCUUGUAUAGGGCAACUGCGAGCUGGAAAGCGAUCCUUCUGCGGACUCACAGCUGUUUUGCUCAUGAGAACAGGCUUUGGAUUUGCUUUCCUUUUUUUAUCCUUCAGGCGCACCCUGAUGAAGGGGGACGCAUCCUUCAGUGCGCUGUAUCUCGGGGUCCAGUGCCCCUAUCAUAUGUGAGGAAGCUAAGCAGCCCCCCUAUCCCCUACGAAUGCCAAACCACUUCUGCUGUGAGAGGGUCAAGCACCUACGGCGUAAAGAGGGGGGGUAAGAGCGAUUCCACACAUGUCGGCGUCCAGGUCCUGGAUGGCGUUGCACCUUGGAAAAAAGACGCGUAAUGAAAUAGCAGUAGGAUUUAUUUUUACCGCCGGCUGAGAAACAAGCAAGCACGUUUUGAGCACCUCCCUCUACGCCGAGGAAAAUCCCUCAUUCACGGUGGCGGUAAAAGUCGCCUCACCAUCACUCGCUUGACAAUACACGGAGCACGGAAAAUAUGAAUCACGCUCCACACAAGCACUUCAACCAAGCGAUGAGAAGCAGCUUCCCUACUCCCAUCUCCCUCAUUAACACCAUAUCACUUCAGCAGCCGGAAAGACCCCGUCAGCUUUCAAAAGAAGUGUUUUUCACCCUGGUGGUGCCUUUCAUCUGCGAAAAGCCGGACAAGCAACUCUCAUGACAUGAACAGAACCCAGAUGUCUUGGAUGAAAGCCAGGUGUCCCCUGUUAUGCAAAUAGAAGAGAACGGCUGAAGAAAGAAGAAUAUCCUCUUGUGCAUUUGCAUGCUACUCAAACAAUAGCAGCCGCGAUAGCUCAGUUGGGAGAGCGUCAGACUGAAGAUCUGAAGGUCCCUGGUUCGAUCCCGGGUCGCGGCAUAUACCUUUUCAAAGAGCAAAAGUUUU
rnacentral:tRNA from 1 species